UGUACCACAAUGACAGAGAACACCAGAGCAUCAGGACUGAAUGAAAUUGGAGACUCAGAUUUUUAAAGCUGCACUAAGAAGUAAAUGUUCAGGCAGUGAUUAAAACCAACAGUCUAUAAAGAGGCACUUGCAUAUUGUGCUAUAUUAAACUGAAGAAAAGGUAUUAGGGGAAUAUUUUAUUAAAAAAAACCUAUUGCAAUAAAUUAUGCAUGAGAUGAGGAGGAAAGUGAUGUGAAAUACGCAAAGAACUCUUGAAUUCUAUGUGUGAAGAAUCACUGACAGUACCUUCUUUUGAACGUGAAGUUCUCAGUACAGUUUGGACACGCCUAAAAGGCACAGGAUGAUGACAGAAAUGCUGAAUUAUUUUUCAUAUUAAAACUGCUUUCUCCAAGGUUUACUGUUAAUCAGCUCAGAAACGAUGAUCUAACAUCCUACUAAAAGGAUGGUAAAGUGUCCCUAUACCCCACCAAGAAAAUUUGGAUCUUUUCUUUAAUAAAGCAGGACUAUGCUCUCUUAAAUAUACAUUUGCUUGUUAGAACAUAUUAAGAUGUAUUUAUUUGCCACCAGUAUUUAAUGUUUUCUGCACAUUUUCAUAACUACAUUCUUAACUUUCAAAUUCUGACUCCAAGUGGAUAGGCUACUGUCAAUCUUGGAGUGAAAACAUACUCUCUAGGAACUAGUUCUUAAUCCUGCUGAGCUGGAAAGGCUUUAUUCUUCCUGUCCUUACUGAUUUUAUCGAGUUCACAAAAGGUGAUAAUAUCUGAAUUUUGAUACUGACCUCUCUCCACAGAGAGCCCCUCUUUCUAAUAAGUGCAAGAAUUCCUCAGAGGUGUCCGAUGGGACUUGAUCCUGGGGAACAAGCAGCAGGAACCAUAAAGACGGUGAAGUUUUCAUGCAUAAAGUAUGAAUUCUUAUUCACAGAGACCAUAAUGUUUUAUCUAUGAAAAUUACACAUUAUAAAAGACCUUACUUUUUCUUUUUUAAUGAAUGGAGAAAACAUUGAGAAAACCAGAUGAACUUGUUAGUACUACAUUUUUAAGGCAUUUUAUAUUUGAUGGUGCCGUACUUUUAAUAAUAUACCUGAAGUUUUUUAGUGGCAAUACUGAUUUAUUUUUUAAACCAGAAAGGUAAUCCAUAGUGAUUACUUAAUACAAAAGGAAAAAAAUGCCAAAAAUAAAAAUACAAAAUUCAUUUGAAGCAACAUAAAUGAUAACUGAGCAUUUGGCUUCAGUGCUCAAACUUUGCAUAAUCUUACUAUAUGUGUUUGGAAUUACUUAUUAACCCCACACUCAGGAUUAACACACAGUUCUGGGUAAGUUUUAGAACAUUUACUAUACCAGCUAGGAUCUGUUUUACAACCCUAGAAAAGGUAGGCAGUCUUGCUUCUAGCGAGUUUAAUGCCAACCCUAAUUACGCUGUAACUAAAAGUCUUGAUUCCAUUCUAAGAUUGUCUUUAUAGAAAAUUUUUUAUCAUGAAGUCAUUGUACAUUUGAUGAAGUCUGAAAGAGUCAGCUCAGGAACUGCAGCAGCAGGAAGCUCUAAACACAAGCGACGCUCUGCUCUGGCCCAGAGCUUAGGCUGGGGUCCCUCUUGUUCUUUCAGAUCCGUAACCCAGCAGUACCACUUCAGGCUCAUUUCUGAUAACCUGAUAACUCCCAGAUCAUAGCAGAUUUUGCAUAAUCAAAACUUCUAAUUGCAGAGUGAUGGAAAUGACGAAGUAACAUAAAGGCAAAAAGAACUGGGAGAGAUCAGGUUUUAAGUAUCUAAACAUUUUUUAUGACAAUUCUCAGUGAUGUUUGUUAUAAACCAGACUUUCAUUUUUUUGAAAAAUGAAACUUGGUGGUAUUUAAAAUCUAGACAUACCAUGUUUGCUAUUUCACCUUCAUUGCUUUAGUUGCUUAAUAUUUAAGCUUUGCUUCAUGCUACCUUCAUCUGUAUUUCAAAUCUUCACAAGCCUAUUUCAUUUUGUAGACUUGAAUGACAACAAUUGUUUCUCAUCUAAACUAUGCUGAGACCUAAAUGUUAAAGAAUGUUGUGUAACAUAUAUUCAAUAAAGUCUUG
rnacentral:lncRNA from 1 species